UACGUAGGGAGCAAGCGUUGUCCGGAAUCAUUGGGCGUAAAGAGCGCGUAGGUGGCCUCAUAAGUCCGCUGUGAAAGUCAAAGGCUCAACCUUUGAAAGCCGGUGGAUACUGUGAGGCUAGAGUACGGAAGAGGCGAGUGGAAUUCCUGGUGUAGCGGUGGAAUGCGCAGAUAUCAGGAGGAACACCAAUAGCGAAGGCAGCUCGCUGGGACGUUACUGACACUGAGGCGCGAAAGCGUGGGGAGCGAACAGG
rnacentral:rRNA from 1 species